rfam:Gossypium hirsutum cultivar TM-1 unplaced genomic scaffold scaffold445.1, whole genome shotgun sequence
UAUUAUAAAAUUCAUCCAUUUUUACUGUUAAAAAAACGGGCGUAGUUGACGGAAUAACUAGACAAAUACACGUGACGUGCUAUGUGUACCUUGUGCCAACAUACAAAGAUAAGUUUUGAACAGUAGAAAUAGAUAAAAUUUUUAACA